AUAAUUCUCUUAAAGUAGUGACUUCACCAACAGGAAUUCUAGGCCUGCUCAAGGGAUAAGCAGAGUAUGUCGGGUUCCCAGGUGCCAAUGAACAGAGAAAUAGCCAAAGGGCUCGCUGAGUGGGAGCAGAGGUAAAUGGGCCCGGAUAAUUGGAAAACUGGAUAGUCACGAGGUUAACUAUGCCACAGGCAAGAAUCCAGAUGGUUCCAACCUACCUCAGCCAGUAUGACAUGAAACAAGGUCCCAGCUUGAACACUCUGAGUUUUGAACAGAUAUGUCUGAGAGGACAUCUGCCAGAAGCCUAUUUGCAUGAGGAACUUAGAAACCUCCAGGAGAAAGCUCAGACUGAAGGAAAGAGGAGUCGGCUUGCCAACUGCAAGGCACCAGACAAUAAAUAAUGCCUUAGUGGUCAAUGGAAAG
rnacentral:antisense_RNA from 1 species